rnacentral:rRNA from 1 species
AUUGAACGCUGGCGGCAUGUUUUACACAUGCAAGUCGAACGGCAGCACGGGUGCUUGCACCUGGUGGCGAGUGGCGGACGGGUGAGUAAUACAUCGGAACGUGUCCAGAAGAGGGGGAUAACGCAUCGAAAGAUGUGCUAAUACCGCAUAUGCUCUGAGGAGGAAAGUAGGGGAUCGAAAGACCUUACGCUUUUGGAGCGGCCGAUGUCUGAUUAGCUAGUUGGUGGGGUAAGGGGCCUACCAAGGCGACGAUCAGUAGUUGGUCUGAGAGGACGACCAGCCACACUGGGACUGAGACACGGCCCAGACUCCUACGGGAGGCAGCAGUGGGGAAUUUUGGACAAUGGGGGCAACCCUGAUCCAGCCAUUCCGCGUGAGUGAAGAAGGCCUGGUGUAAG